rnacentral:rRNA from 1 species
GUAGCGGUGAAAUGCUUAGAUAUCACGAAGNACUCCAAUUGCGAAGGCAGCUUACUAGGCUACAACUGACGCUGAAGCACGAAAGCGUGGGGAUCAAACAGGAUUAGAUANCCUGGUAGUCCACGCAGUAAACGAUGAUAACUAGCUGUUAGCGAUAUACUGUUAGCGGCACAGAGAAAUCGUUAAGCAUUCCACCUGGGGAGUACGCCGGCAACGGUGAAACUCAAAGGAAUUGACGGGGGCCCGCACAAGCGGAGGAACAUGUGGUUUAAUUCGAUGAUACGCGAGGAACCUUACCUGGGCUUAAAUUGCAGUGGAAUAACGUGGAAACAUGUUAGCCUUCGGGCCGCUGUGAAGGUGCUGCAUGGUUGUCGUCAGCUCGUGCCGUGAGGUGUCGGCUUAAGUGCCAUAACGAGCGCAACCCUCAUCGAUAGUUACUAACAGGUUAAGCUGAGGACUCUAUCGAGACUGCCGACGUAAGUCGUGAGGAAGGUGGGGAUGACGUCAAAUCAGCACGGCCCUUACGUCCAGGGCUACACACGUGUUACAAUGGGGGGUACAAAGGGCAGCUACCUGGCGACAGGAUGCUAAUCUCUAAAACCUUUCUCAGUUCGGAUUGGAGUCUGCAACUCGACUCCAUGAAGCUGGAUUCGCUAGUAAUCGCGCAUCAGCCAUGGCGCGGUGAAUACGUUCCCGGGCCUUGUACACACCGCCCGUCAAGCCAUGGAAGCUGGGGGUACCUGAAGUAUGCAACCGCAAGGAGCGUCCUAGGGUAAAACCGGUAACUGGGGCU